CUCUCAAGCGAAGAACGGACGCACCGCGAGCAAUUUCGACGAUCAAGAGGUUCCCAGUCUUGGAUUUGAUAUAGGGUUCGAUCACUAGGUUCCCAGUCUUGGGUUCGAUCAAGAGGUUCCCAGUUUUGGGUUCGAUCAAGAGGAUCAUCUCUCGGCAUCCUCGGGCAGAACUUGAAGUUCAUCAUCCGACUCCUAGCCGUAAGUCAUUUUGGAUCUGAAGAACUUAAUAUCUAAAAAUGUUAGUCCUCUUUGGAUGGGCUUUGUUGAUACUAAUUUCACAAAUGCUUCAAAUGAGACAAGAUGAGGUGGUCCUUAUGCAAGGACUUGCAAGUCAGACUAUAACCUAGAGCGUAUAUCAAGCAGUUCAACAAAUUAUGCUUUCAUUCUCCUUCAAUUUUAAGUAGUAGCUCCUCUUGUGCAUUGGUCUUUUAACAUCGUGUACUUGUUUUCUUUUUUAUUUCUGUUGGAAGAUUAGUACUUGUUCUCUGUUCUCAAUUGUAUCAGAUGAUUAGUUAUUGUUCUUUGUUUUUAGUUGUGUUGGAUGAUUAGUGCUUGUUCUUUUCUUUAAUUGAAGGAGUUGACUAUCAUAACAAGCGGUCUUCUACUUUAAGAAAAAUGUUCUAUUUCUCAUGCUUAAAUGUGAUCCAUUUUAUUUUAUAUAUUUUUACACUUUGCAGGGUACUUAGACGAGGUGGCUGUUUUCUACGCCUCGAGUUGAGUUAGUUCCCUACAUUAAGAAGAAAACUUAUCAAAAUUAUAGUUACUUACCCAUUGAACCUGCCCUGAAAUAUACAAUGAUCAUGAUCUUGCAUAUUUUGUUCUCACUAGUUUAUAUGCACGUGCAAUGCACGUGUUAAAAUAUUAAAAAAUUAUUU